AUGCUAUGCUAAGAUAACAGGGCGCUGCUGCUGCUGCGGGUGACUGUGAGAGAAGAGCAGGCACAACAGUCGUCUUAAAGAUGUUUGUGGGACAGGACAAAGACGAAGGACAGGAGUGUUAAUACCCGCUCUGCAGCUCCUGAUUCGCUGAUGUUAGAUUUACAGAUUGGUGGAGGAGUUAGGAGUUUUUGCGCUGUGGGAUGAGGUAGUAGGUUGUGUAGUUUUAGGGUCACACCCACACUGGGAGAUAACUAUACAGCCUACUGUCUUUCUCAGAGUGACGAGAGAGAUCAUCGCUAUCUGUUCCCUUCAGAAGAGGAGAAACCAUCAAAAUCUUCAUAAUAUGGACAUUAAGGCAGUGUACUGUUAUUCUGCGAUACUCAGUAUAUCACAUGAUAAUUACCUGUGAAUCACAGGAAUGGGCCGUGUGUUGGUGAUCUGUGUACGAGCCUCAACUGUGCACUGUGCAGCAUGAUUUUAAGGCAUGUCAGUGUGUCUUUGCUAUCGUAACGAUGGGAAAAGUACACAUACUAGUCAUGUACUAAUUAUCUUAAUGAGGAGAAUUAAAUAAACCAAUCAGUGUGUCACUUGCCAUUUAUUUUAAGAGCCAGGUGAGCUCUGACUUUGGCACUCUGCUAUUUGGCUGAAUGAUGUAUAUUGAAAUUUAAACAUUCCUGUCACAAUAUAAACUAAUAUCAAAUGAUUGCCCAGCCCUAAUGGCUGCAUAAACUGUAUAGUAACAAUUACCUGACUGGAUGGGAAUCCACAACACUUAGUCAUUGUAUAUUAUUAUCGUAUAUUAUGAAAUAAUAAGAAGGAUAAUAUUUUGUUGUACAGUUGUUAAAGAUCACGAUGCUUUCACAGUGUGAGGUAGUAGAUUGUAUAGUUGUGGGGUAGUGAUUUUAUCCUGUUUAGAAGAUAACUAUACAAUCUAUUGCCUUCCCUGAGGGGGUGAGACUCACUUACAUAUAAUAAUUUACUUUUUAUAUUCAUAAAUUAUUACUUUUCUUUAUGGUUUUGCACUGGGUUUUUAUGUAAGUACAGAAAUUAUACCAUGAUUGUUCUUGGAAACAAUGAACUUUAUUUGUUAUGUGAAUAAUUUAAUAAAUCUGCAUAAUAAA